UUAAAAUUUAAUUAAGCUCUCCAACUCCUAAAAGCACCCGACAAUAUUGCUGACAUGGUUUCACACACCGCCGCGGUUAUCGCCACCACCACUACAGUACCGCCAGCGCCGCCGCCGCAUUUCAGAAGGUUCCAAAGAUCACCUACCGGCGGCACUUCACCUCGUUGGAUCCCAGAAAGAGGACGAGUUCUUAACAACAUUCUAAGAAUGGCAUUUUCAUGUCUCUGUUUUCCUAAUAGGAGGUCGUUCCAAACUCCACGAUCAUCAUUUCUCGACUUGAUUUUUCCCAUUUAACCUAUUGUUGUAUAACAAAUUAAUUUAUAUAUUCAAAAUUCGAAAUUGAGAAGUGAUUAAAUUAACUCAUCAUUUAAUUACACACCA
rnacentral:lncRNA from 1 species